rnacentral:tRNA from 1 species
GUUUUAAUAAUUUAAAUAAAAUAUUGGUCUUGUAAACCAAAUAUGAAUUAUAUUCUUAAAACU